rfam:Pseudomonas putida CSV86 contig00170, whole genome shotgun sequence.
GGGCCUAUAGCUCAGUCGGUUAGAGCAGAGGACUCAUAAUCCUUUGGUCCACGGUUCGAGUCCGUGUGGGCCCA